rnacentral:rRNA from 1 species
GUCGAACGAACUCUGGUAUUGAUUGGUGCUUGCAUCAUGAUCUUACAUUUGAGUGAGUGGCGAACUGGUGAGUAACACGUGGGAAACCUGCCCAGAAGCGGGGGAUAACACCUGGAAACAGAUGCUAAUACCGCAUAACAACUUGGACCGCAUGGUCCGAGUUUGAAAGAUGGCUUCGGCUAUCACUUUUGGAUGGUCCCGCGGCGUAUUAGCUAGAUGGUGGGGUAACGGCUCACCAUGGCAAUGAUACGUAGCCGACCUGAGAGGGUAAUCGGCCACAUUGGGACUGAGACACGGCCCAAACUCCUACGGGAGGCAGCAGUAGGGAAUCUUCCACAAUGGACGAAAGUCUGAUGGAGCAACGCCGCGUGAGUGAAGAAGGGUUUCGGCUCGUAAAACUCUGUUGUUAAAGAAGAACAUAUCUGAGAGUAACUGUUCAGGUAUUGACGGUAUUUAACCAGAAAGCCACGGCUAACUACGUGCCAGCAGCCGCGGUAAUACGUAGGUGGCAAGCGUUGUCCGGAUUUAUUGGGCGUAAAGCGAGCGCAGGCGGUUUUUUAAGUCUGAUGUGAAAGCCUUCGGCUCAACCGAAGAAGUGCAUCGGAAACUGGGAAACUUGAGUGCAGAAGAGGACAGUGGAACUCCAUGUGUAGCGGUGAAAUGCGUAGAUAUAUGGAAGAACACCAGUGGCGAAGGCGGCUGUCUGGUCUGUAACUGACGCUGAGGCUCGAAAGUAUGGGUAGCAAACAGGAUUAGAUACCCUGGUAGUCCAUACCGUAAACGAUGAAUGCUAAGUGUUGGAGGGUUUCCGCCCUUCAGUGCUGCAGCUAACGCAUUAAGCAUUCCGCCUGGGGAGUACGGCCGCAAGGCUGAAACUCAAAGGAAUUGACGGGGGCCCGCACAAGCGGUGGAGCAUGUGGUUUAAUUCGAAGCUACGCGAAGAACCUUACCAGGUCUUGACAUACUAUGCAAAUCUAAGAGAUUAGACGUUCCCUUCGGGGACAUGGAUACAGGUGGUGCAUGGUUGUCGUCAGCUCGUGUCGUGAGAUGUUGGGUUAAGUCCCGCAACGAGCGCAACCCUUAUUAUCAGUUGCCAGCAUUAAGUUGGGCACUCUGGUGAGACUGCCGGUGACAAACCGGAGGAAGGUGGGGAUGACGUCAAAUCAUCAUGCCCCUUAUGACCUGGGCUACACACGUGCUACAAUGGAUGGUACAACGAGUUGCGAACUCGCGAGAGUAAGCUAAUCUCUUAAAGCCAUUCUCAGUUCGGAUUGUAGGCUGCAACUCGCCUACAUGAAGUCGGAAUCGCUAGUAAUCGCGGAUCAGCAUGCCGCGGUGAAUACGUUCCCGGGCCUUGUACACACCGCCCGUCACACCAUGAGAGUUUGUAACACCCAAAGUCGGUGGGGUAACCUUUUAGG